rnacentral:rRNA from 1 species
CCGUGAUAAAGUAGCAUAAUCACUCGUCAUUUAAUUGGUGACUGGAAUGAAUGGUUACACGAAUCUUUAACUGUCUCAAGAAGAAAGUUCAAUUAAUUUGAAAAAACGGUGAAGAUGCUGUUAACAAAAUUGUAAGACGAAAAGACCCUUUCGAGCUUUACUAUAAGCUUAUAGAAAAAAUCUUUAAUAAAAAUAUAAUAAAAACAAACUGUAAGCUAGUUAGUUUGGUUGGGGCGACCACCUCUAAAACAGUAUCAGAGGAAAUCUAAAGGUAUAAUAGUAAUAUUAAUUGCCUUACUGUAUACAAACAAGUUAAUCAGUUACUAUUAUGUAGGAUAUAAUGACCCGUUGAAUUAAUUUCAAAAUUCAACGACCAUGAAAAAAGUUACCGUAGGGAUAACAGGGUAAUAUUAUCAAAGAGUUCAUAUCGAUGAUGAU